UACGUAGGUGGCGAGCGUUAUCCGGAAUUAUUGGGCGUAAAGAGCGCGCAGGUGGUUGAUUAAGUCUGAUGUGAAAGCCCACGGCUUAACCGUGGAGGGUCAUUGGAAACUGGUCGACUUGAGUGCAGAAGAGGGAAGUGGAAUUCCAUGUGUAGCGGUGAAAUGCGUAGAGAUUAGGAAGAACACCAGUGGCGAAGGCGAUUCUCUGGACUGUAACUGACGCUGAGGCUCGAAAGCGUGGGGAGCAAACAGGAUUAGAUA
rnacentral:rRNA from 1 species